ACCAUUUCAUUUCUCGAUAAGUCUGCUCCUGCUCGACCUCGAAACCCUAGUUCUUUUCAUACUUCGAUUUACAGUUUCUUCUGCAAUUAAAUCUCUGAGAUCGCUUCUCGUCGGCAACAAUUUCAAUGGGGAACUUCAAUAUGCUCCCAAAAGAGAUCAUGUUAGAAAUCUUCUCCCGCGCACCAGCUGAAUCUGUUAUUGAGUGCAAAUCGGUAUCAAAAUCAUGGAGAAAUCUGCUUCAACGUCCAUCCUUCCCACAGAUGCACCUGAAUCAUCUCAAUGAUCCUGAUGCUGCUCAUGAUUCGGGUAAUUUGAGUUUGAUAUUCUAUACGAAAUGGUUAUUAGGUAAAGAACCGUUUUAUUAUACCGAGUACGAUGAGAAUUUAAACCGUUUUACUAGAACAACAAGGAUCAAUGUAACACCUCCAUUUGAGUAUUAUGAUAUCCUUAAUUCAUGUAAUGGUUUAGUUUGUUUCAGUGCAUACCUUGGAAAUUGUCACAAUAUGCAACCGGCUUAUAUCUGUAAUCCCAUCACAAGAGAGUAUACUGUGAUUCCAAAAUUUGAAGGAAAAGACUUCUUGGCUGGAUUUGGUUACAGUCCUUCAACCAAUGAGUACAAGGUUGUUAGAAUCAGUAGAGACAAGGGAGACCCAAAUUAUGGAAUUGUUCAGUUAUACACUCUUGGCAGUUCAUUGGAUGGAGAAAUGGUAGAAAGAUGGACUACGAUCUCAUAUGUUUUGUUCAACUUGGUGUGUCUGCAAAUGGAGCUAUUCAUUGGAUGGGCCACAAAGAUACCAUUGUUGCCUUCGAUUUGGUCGAUGAAAAGUUUAGAGAACUUCCAUUGCCACCUUGGUGGCCAGAUGCUAUGUUUGGAGUACAUGUUGUGAGCAAUUUUGUAUGUGUAUCUUAUCACUAUCCUGAUUCCGAAGGUUCCGAGCCUUUUGACUUAUGGGUUUUAAAGAGGAACGAAAGUAAUCUUCAUGAGAUUUGGCGUAACGAGUUUAGUAAUUGCUAUGGCAGGCCAAUCAGCUUUACAAAGAGUGGCGGGGUUUUAAGCUAUGAUCUUCGUGAUAAAAAUGUGUAUAGGUAUGCUCCAAAAGCUUCUUCUUCCAGAAUGCUUGUGAAUUCCGAUAAGAAGUUUACUGUUGGAGUCCCUCACAAGAACACCUUAGUGUCACUGAAACCAUUGGAAGAAGAAAAUACGAAACUAUUGAAUUCAGGUGAAAGAGCAAGAUAUAGCUGGGGCCCUAGGGAACAAGAAGCAGCAACCAUUAGCCAACGGAACAGAAGAAAGAAAAAGAUCUCUUAAUAAUGAAUAUAUAAACUGGUUGCAGAGUUGGUAUUUACUUCUUAGGGUCGGCAUGUCUGGUGUAAGAGAAAAGUAAUGGAGAAACAACUAGGUCUCGCAGCCAAUUUAAUCUGGAUGAAAUCGUUAAUGAUUUGUUGCAAACAAGUAAACAAUCGGAAUUAAAAACGGGCAGUGUCGCCCAGUCGAGAGGGGUAUCAUGAUGUCUCAAGGCUUACAGAUGGGGAAAAAAAGAAAAGAAAUACAAACUCACAGGUGAGGAGUGAGAAAAGUAAUGAACUUCUGUAACUAGGACUCUGGGCCAAUCUUGCAAGACCAAGCCCUUCUUAAACUCUGGUCAGGAUAUGGAGUGAGUCUGUCACUGAGAUGAAAUAUAAGAUGUGUAGCAGUGUAGGGGGGGGUGUCUGUGGUCAUCCCCCCACUUGCCACAUAAAAGGUAUGGCUGCUAAAAUAUUUUAGAUCUUGAUUUAAGAUUACACCUAAUCUUGAUUCAAGAUUACACCUAAUCUGAUUAUAGUCCCACUUUAGGAUUGUUUUUCGGUUAAAAGCACUUUGUAACAAAAUUAUAUCCAAAUUUUACCAAACAUUUUGUUUGGUAAAUUUUUGUCAAAGUCAUUUUAGGCAUGCUU